rnacentral:rRNA from 1 species
AAUCAACGCUGGCGGCGUGCCUAACACAUGCAAGUCGAACGCGAAAGCCCGCAAGGGGUAAGUAGAGUGGCGCACGGGUGAGUAACACGUGGAUAACCUGCCUUUGAGUGGGGAAUAACCUUCCGAAAGGAGGGCUAAUACCGCAUAACACCUUUAGACAAAAGUCAAAGGGUUAAAGGAGCAAUUCGCUCAAAGAGGGGUCCGCGCCUGAUUAGCUAGUUGGUGAGGUAACGGCUCACCAAGGCUUCGAUCAGUAGCCGUCCUGAGAGGGAGCACGGCCACACUGGAACUGAGACACGGUCCAGACUCCUACGGGAGGCAGCAGUCGGGAAUUUUGGGCAAUGGGCGAAAGCCUGACCCAGCAACGCCGCGUGAAGGAUGAAAUCCCUCGGGAUGUAAACUUCGCAAGAAUGGGAAGAAUGAACGAAGCGCUAAUACCGUUACGUGAUGACGGUACCAUUUGUAAGCUCCGGCUAACUCCGUGCCAGCCGCCGCUGUAAG